rnacentral:rRNA from 1 species
UACGUAGGGUGCAAGCGUUGUCCGGAAUUAUUGGGCGUAAAGAGCUCGUAGGCGGUUUGUCGCGUCUGCUGUGAAAUCCCAGGGCUUAACCCUGGGCCUGCAGUGGGUACGGGCAGACUAGAGUGCGGUAGGGGAGAUCGGAAUUCCUGGUGUAGCGGUGAAAUGCGUAGAUAUUGGGAGGAACACCAGUGGCGAAAGCGACUUUCUGGGCCGUUCCUGACGCUGAGGCGCGAAAGCGUGGGGAGCAAACAGG